CCUGUUUAUCAAAAACAUUUCUUAUAUAAUUUAUUAUAAGUAUCACCUGCUCAAUGAAAUUUAAUAGCCGCAGAAUAUUUACUGUGCUAAGGUAGCAUAAUCAUUAGCCUCUUAAUUAGAGGCUCGCAUGAAAGGUGGAACAUUUCAUUUCCUUUAUUAAUUGAUUUAUUUUAAUUUAAAUUAAGAAUAAAAAUGUUCUUAUAAUGAUAAAAGACGAUAAGACCCUAUUGAACUUUACUUUAGUUUGGCUGGGGCAGCCAAGAAAAAAUAAUCUUUCCUCCUCUUUUUAUAUAAAUGUUCCAACAAAGUUGAGUAUUUGAACAAGUUACCAUAGGGAUAACAGCGUAAUAUUUUUUUAAAGCUCUUAUUUAAAUAAAAGUUUGCGACCUCGAUGUUGAAUUAGUGUAACUUUAAUGGUGCAAUAACUUGGGAAGUGGGUCUGUUCGACCCUUAAUACACUACAUGAUCUGAGUUCAAACC
rnacentral:rRNA from 1 species